UACAGAGGUCCCAAGCGUUGUUCGGAUUCACUGGGCGUAAAGGGCGCGUAGGUGGUGAAGUAAGUCGGAUGUGAAAUCUCGGAGCUUAACUCCGAAACUGCAUUGGAAACUACUUUGCUCGAGGGUUGGAGGGGGGACUGGAAUUCUCGGUGUAGCAGUGAAAUGCGUAGAUAUCGAGAGGAACACCAGUGGCGAAGGCGAGUCCCUGGACAACUCCUGACACUGAGGCACGAAAGCUAGGGGAGCAAACAGG
rnacentral:rRNA from 1 species